AUUGAACGCUGGCGGCAUGCUUUACACACGCAAGUCGAACGGUAACAGGCCGCAAGGUGCUGACGAGUGGCGAACGGGUGAGUAAUGCUUCGGAACGUGCCCAGUCGUGGGGGAUAACUGCUCGAAAGAGCAGCUAAUACCGCAUACGAUCUAUGGAUGAAAGCGAGGGACCGUAAGGCCUCGCGCGAUUGGAGCGGCCGAUGUCAGAUUAGGUAGUUGGUGGGGUAAAGGCUCACCAAGCCAACGAUCUGUAGCUGGUCUGAGAGGACGACCAGCCACACUGGGACUGAGACACGGCCCAGACUCCUACGGGAGGCAGCAGUGGGGAAUUUUGGACAAUGGGGGCAACCCUGAUCCAGCAAUGCCGCGUGCAGGAAGAAGGCCUUCGGGUUGUAAACUGCUUUUGUACGGAACGAAACGGUCUGGGUUAAUACCCUGGGCUAAUGACGGUACCGUAAGAAUAAGCACCGGCUAACUACGUGCCAGCCGCCGCAGUAAAAC
rnacentral:rRNA from 1 species